GGAGUUUAUGACCAUUGGAUCUCGACAGAGAAUCAAUGCUACUCAAGGUAGUAUAACUAUUAAGCUUGAUGGUAGUGAAAUCAACAAAGUCGAUACUGUUAAAUUCUUAGGAGUACAUAUCGACAAACACCUUUCUUGGUCAACCCAUACUGGGAAAUUAACUAAGAAAAUUGCUUCAGCCAUUGGGGCAUUAAAACGUAACAUUAGACCAUUUGUAAGUACGAGAAUUGCU